AUGCAGCAGCAGCACAUAUACGAAAAUUGGAACGAUAACAGAGAUUUGCAUGGCCCCUGUGCAAGGAUGACACGCAAAUUUGUGAAAUGUUCCAUAUUUCU
ensembl:snRNA Rnu6-1297 RNA, U6 small nuclear 1297